rnacentral:rRNA from 1 species
CGGGGUGCAGCAGGCGCGAAAACUUUACAAUGCUGGAAACAGCGAUAAGGGGACCUCGAGUGCCAGGUUACAAAUCUGGCUGUCGUGAUGCCUAAAAAGCAUUGCAUAGCAAGGGCCGGGCAAGACCGGUGCCAGCCGCCGCGGUAACACCGGCGGCUCGAGUGGUAACCGUUAUUAUUGGGUCUAAAGGGUCUGUAGCCGGCCGGAUAAGUCUCUUGGGAAAUCCAGCAGCUCAACUGUUGGGCUUUCAGGAGAUACUGUCUGGCUCGAGGCCGGGAGAGGUGAGAGGUACUUCAGGGGUAGGGGUGAAAUCUUGUAAUCCUUGAAGGACCACCAGUGGCGAAGGCGUCUCACCAGAACGGACCUGACGGCAAGGGACGAAAGCUAGGGGCACGAACCGGAUUAGAUACCCGGGUAGUCCUAGCCGUAAACGAUACUCGCUAGGUGUCGGCCACGGUGCGACCGUUGUCGGUGCCGUAGGGAAGCCGUGAAGCGAGCCACCUGGGAAGUACGGCCGCAAGGCUGAAACUUAAAGGAAUUGGCGGGGGAGCACAAG